rnacentral:rRNA from 1 species
GAUGAACGCUGGCGGCGUGCCUAAUACAUGCAAGUCGAGCGAACGGACGAGAAGCUUGCUUCUCUGAUGUUAGCGGCGGACGGGUGAGUAACACGUGGAUAACCUACCUAUAAGACUGGGAUAACUUCGGGAAACCGUAGCUAAUACCGGAUAAUAUUUUGAACCGCAUGGUUCAAGAGUGAAAGACGGUCUUGCUGUCACUUAUAGAUGGAUCCCGGCUGCAUUAGCUAGUUGGUAAGGUAACGGCUUACCAAGGCAACGAUGCAUACCCGACCUAAGGGGGUGAUCGGCCACACUGGACCGGAGACCGGGUCCAGACCCCUACGGGAGGCAGCAGAAGGGAAUCUUCGGCAAUGGGCGAAAGCCUGACGGAGCACCGCCGCGUGAGUGAUGAAGGUCUUCGGAUCGUAAAACUCUGUUAUUAGGGAAGAACAUAUGUGUAAGUAACUGUGCACAUCUUGACGGUACCUAAUCAGAAAGCCACGGCUAACUACGUG